rnacentral:lncRNA from 1 species
UUAAGCAUGUGAAUUCAACAACAAGUUACAGGAUCUCAACAAUAACAGCAAGAUCAAGCAAGAACAGACAAUGAACAAGAAGAGAAAGGGGGUCAGGGACAGAGUUUACAGGAGAAUUUUUGCUGCAAUUGAGGUGCUAAGGACAAGGGAAAGACUGCUAUGCCUAGCUAUACUAUGAAUUCGCAGAUGAAGCUUCUUAAUCUUCAUGAACAUCCAUGGAUCUCGCCAUCUUCUUCUCCCUUCUUCCUCUUUUCCCCAGUUUCUCGAUCUCAACCAUUCC